GUUGAAACACCGGUUCUCCUAUGAUCACCAAAGUUAAGCAACGUCGAAUCGGGUUAGUAACUAGAUGGGUGAUCGCUUAGGAAUACCAGGUGCUGUAAG